AGCAGUGGGGAAUAUUGCACAAUGGGGGAAACCCUGAUGCAGCCAUGCCGCGUGUGUGAAGAAGGCCUUCGGGUUGUAAAGCACUUUCAGUUGUGAGGAAAAGUUAGUAGUUAAUACCUGCUAGCCGUGACGUUAACAACAGAAGAAGCACCGGCUAACUCCGUGCCAGCAGCCGCGGUAAUACGGAGGGUGCGAGCGUUAAUCGGAAUUACUGGGCGUAAAGCGCACGCAGGCGGUUUGUUAAGCUAGAUGUGAAAGCCCCGGGCUCAACCUGGGAUGGUCAUUUAGAACUGGCAGACUAGAGUCUUGGAGAGGGGAGUGGAAUUCCAGGUGUAGCGGUGAAAUGCGUAGAUAUCUGGAGGAACACCAGUGGCGAAAGCGGC
rnacentral:rRNA from 1 species